UUGAAACACCGGUUACCGUACGGUUACCGACUUUAAGCAACGUUGAGCCUGUUCAGUACCUAGAUGGGUGACCGCUUGGGAAUAUCAGGUGCUGUAAG